AUUGAACGCUGGCGGCAGGCCUAACACAUGCAAGUCGAACGAGUGGCGGACGGGUGAGUAAUGUCUGGGAAACUGCCUGAUGGAGGGGGAUAACUACUGGAAACGGUAGCUACUACCGCAUACCAUCAGAUGUGCCCAGAUGGGAUUAGCUUGUUGGUGGGGUAACGGCUCACCAAGGCGACGAUCCCUAGCUGGUCUGAGAGGAUGACCAGCCACACUGGAACUGAGACACGGUCCAGACUCCUACGGGAGGCAGCAGUGGGGAAUAUUGCGCAAUGGGCGAAAGCCUGAUGCAGCAAUGCCGCGUGAGUGAAGAAGGCCUUCGGAUUGUAAAGUACUUUCAGCAGGGAAGCGUUACCUAACGAAAAAGCAACGGCUAACUCCGUGCCAGCAGCCGCGGUAAUUC
rnacentral:rRNA from 1 species